GUUACAAAUCAAACAUCAAAUCACUUUUCACGUUCUGGACCAGCGUUACGACAUUUUCAACUUUUCAAGGAAGCAGCGUCUGAUAAUAUUAUUAAAACGCAGAAUAAAAGUGCGAGUCAAUAUAAUAAAAGUCGUAAGGAACCUGUAACGUAUAACGUUAAUGACUAUGUGAUGAUCAGGAAUUUUGAUGUUACUCCUGGAGUGAAUAAAAAAUUAAUACCUAAGUUUAAAGGACCUUAUGCUGUAAAAAGGGUUUUAGAUAAUGAUAGAUAUGUUGUCGCUGAUAUCGAAGGUAACCAAAUUACUCAGAGACCAUUUGAAGGAGUAGUGGGUCCCGACCAAAUGAGAAAGUGGAUAAAGGUACCAGUAGCAUAACCGUUUUGUUUUUAUGAAAAAAAAAUAUAUUUAUAUAUUAAUAUUUAUUAUAUAUUUGUGUAAUGUAUGUACGUAUUGAAACAAUAUUUCCUAUGUGGUAGUUUUUUUAUAUAUAUAUAUUGUAUUGUAUUGUAUUUAUUAUUAUUUUUCUAUUGUUAUAAUUAUUUAUUUUAUAUUUUGAAAUUAUAAUAUUGUCACUGAUAUAAUAUUAUUAAAUUGUACGUAUUCGGGACGAAUUAUUGUCAGGAAGGCCGAGCUGUUAGCGUCUAUUCUGGAAUGUUCGGCGGAGCACCUAUCGGGUCUUCGGGAUUACCGAUUUGAUAACGAUCUGGUGUUUCCGUCGAAUGUUCUAGAAUUGACGAAUCUAAUUGUUAUAAAUAUGGCAAUCGCAAAAUGUAUCGAUCAGUCGAUUGAUUGAUCUUCCGUUGCACCGACGCCUAAUAUAAGACGACGAAAUAAACCGUAUGCUUUUGAAAUAAAACUUUUUUUUAUAUAACCUAAACCAAAUCAGCCAACAAGUUAAUUUAUUUACUUUUAAUAGGUUAAACAAUCAACAAUCAACAUGUAUAUCAAAUAUAUAAUACUUGUUAUCAUUACAUUCAUACAUUUUACUG